GACGAACGCUGGCGGCGUGCUUAACACAUGCAAGUCGAACGGACAGGCCCUGCUUUUGUGUGGUUCUCGAUUGGCGAACGGGUGAGUAUCACGUGAGUAACCUGCCCUUGACUUUGUGAUAACUUCAGGAAACUGGGGCUAUUACCGGAUAGGAGCUCCUGCUGCAUGGUGGGCGUUGGAAAGAUUCGGCGGUUGGGGAUGGACUCGCGGCUUAUCAGCUUGUUUGUGGGGUAGUGGCUUACCAAGGCUUUGACGGAUAGCCGGCCUGAGAGGGUGACCGGGGACAUUGGGACUGAGAUACGGCGCAGACUCGUACGGGAGGCAGCAGUGGAGAAUAUGGCACAGUGGGCGGGAGCGUGAGGCGGCAACGCCGCGUGCGGGAUGACGGCUUUCGGGUUGUAAACCGCUGUCGACUGUGACGAAGCGUGAGUGACGGUAAUGGGUAAGGAAGCACCGGCUAACUACGUG
rnacentral:rRNA from 1 species